ensembl:lncRNA LINC01941 long intergenic non-protein coding RNA 1941
CUCUGCCUGAACUGUCCUCCCAACAAAAUCCUGCUCACCCUUUAAAACAUACCUCUGACAGCUCCUUCUCUGGGCAAGUCGCAUGAGCCUCUCCUCUCAAGUCUCACCAGGAAUUUAAGAGUAAUUCCCAAAUUGCUUCUGGGCCUUGACUUUCUGUCAUCUAUUCAAAUGUCAAAACCUUUUCCUGGAAGAAUGUGCUACACCUGCUGCAGGAGAAAGGCAAUUAGUAAAUGUAGAAGAAGAAAUGGAAUUUGAAAAUCACUAUUUGGCCACCAUCAUGGUAAUAAUUGCUUGAGUCAAGAAUCAUCAGUGGAUCAUUCUAAUGGGUGGAAGUUUAACCACUAACAGGAUAUUUCAUGGUCUCAAAGCCUCUUCCCACAAGAUGUUUAUAAUAAAAAAUAAAAAGCAGAAACUUCAGAGCAAAGAAGUCUGACAGACACUGCCAAAAUCAGUCAAGCCAAUAUCAUGUGUUUCCUAAUACAAUGCACUAAGAGAGGCACAAUAUCACUUCUGCAGCAUCCUUGCCAAAAACACCUAAUGAUAGUUUUAUUAUGAUGAAACAAUGAACCACUUUCAAACUGAGGACAUUUUAUGAAAUAAUUUGUCAGAACUCUCAAAAAUUAUCAAAUAAAUGAAAUAUAAAAAGAGCUGUUAAGGACUUGGAGGACUGUUAGAUUAUAGAAAAGUAAAAAGUCUUUACAGCUAAAUGCAACAAAUAAAGAUGCAAUAUUUUUAUAAAAAACAUUGAACAACUAGCAAAAA